AUGGUGGGGGAGGCUAUAAUGACAUCCUGUCAUGUCCUGAAUAAAGUUCCGACAAAGGAUAACGAGAUCACUCCAUAUGAGAAGUGGACCAAGAGAAGGACAACACUCUCGUACUUACGUACCUGGGGCUGCUUGGCGAAAGUUAAUGUGCCGAUCCCCAAAAAGCGUAAGCUUGGACCAAAGACUGUGGACUGUGUUAAUCUGGGCUACGCUAUGAAUAGUGUUGGCUAUAGAUUUCUAGUAGUGAAAUCUGAGGUACCUGACAUGAAAGUCGGUACAAUUAUGGAGUCUAAAGAUGCUACAUUCUUUGAGGACAUUUUUCCCAUGAGAGAUGUACAAAGCACUUCUAGACAGGAAUCUGAGGAGACUCCUGAACCUGCCAUUCCAAUGGAAUAUUAUAAUCAAACACAUGAUGAAAAUCCCGACGAGGAUAAUGAGGAAUCCCUUGGUAGGGGCAAGAGACAAAUGACUGUAAAGACCUUUGGUGAUGAUUUCUUCAUAUACCUCGUGGAGGAUAAUCCCACUUCUAUUUCAGAAGCGUAUGCAUCUCCAGAAGCUGACUACUGGAAGGAUGCGGUCCGUAGCGAGAUGGAUUCCAUCAUGGCUAACGGGACUUGGGAGCUUACUGAACGUCCUUAUGGUUGCAAACCAUUGGGAUGA
rnacentral:rRNA from 1 species